rnacentral:miRNA from 1 species
AUGGUGACCAAUCAUACUGGUUUGCCUGGAACUGAGGGGUUUCCCAGGAUUCAGGGCUUGCAGUGCUAAAAAUCAGGACAGUC